UUGGGUGUAUAUUUCUAUUGGAGUUGUUCAUAAACAUGUGUGCGAGAAACAUUUCAAAUGUGAGGCGUCGGAUAAAUGUAUUAUCUACCGAAUAGACCUGAUGCGGCGAGCGAGGGUAUUGCUGUCAUUCUUGUGAUUGCUAUCUCACCCGUGCCGUGUGUCCCAAGUUUAGUCGAGUCACUGCGCAUAGAGGGUAUAUGUUUUUGAACUACAAAUCCAGUUAUCAUACAUUUGUUUUGUAUGUAAACAAUUUAUGUUUUUUCGUUUGAUGAUGGUGGCCUUACAUGGCCGGUCCCAAGCCCGGAUAAAGGAGGAGGGGGAGGGCGUCAGGUAGUCGACAGCCGGCACUCCAUGAUCACGUCGAAUCCUUAUGAAAAUGAAUCCAGAACAAAAUCGCGCUAAAGCUAGGGCGUCACCCGUAAGUGGCGCGCUGUGUGGCCCGAGCACAGUGAUAAGUGAGCAAGGGUCGCUGUAUCUCCAUCGGCACCCGGAUGCAGUGUUAAAUGAGCAAGGGGGCCAUAGAAACUUCUUUUCGAACGACUCCACUCAAAGUUGUUUGGGAGCAUAUGCUCCUAUCAACUUUACCCGGGACACACAAAAGAAGUACUUUGAUCCUAUUAGACGGGGGAUGGUGAAGAAGCUAGGACAGAAGGGUAGAGUUCAAGAGAGCAAAAUGCGUUUAGGAACGUGGAAUAUAGGAACCUUAACGGGAAAAUCUAUGGAAGUAGUGGAAGUGAUGGUGAGGAGAAGGAUAAAUAUUAUGUGCCUACAAGAAACUAAGUGGGUUGGUAGUAAGGCAAAGGAUCUAGAAAACUCAGGGUUUAAACUUUGGUAUUCGGGCACAAAUAGAACGAGAAACGGUGUCGGCAUCAUCGUGGACAAGACCUUGGUACAAGAUGUUGUAGAUGUCAAGAGGGUAGGAGAUAGAAUCAUGGCAAUCAAGAUUGUAAUAGGACAAGAACUUAUCAAUGUGAUUAGUGCGUACGCACCUCAAGUAGGGUUGGAUACGAGUUCGAAGGAGAAAUUUUGGGAAGAUCUUGGAGACUUGGUGCAAGGAAUUGCUCAGACGGAGAAGUUAUUUAUAGGAGGAGAUUUAAAUGGACACGUGGGCAGGGAGACAGGCAACUAUGGAGGUUUUCAUGGUGGCCAUGGUUUUGGGGAGAGAAACGAGGAUGGGGAAGCUAUCUUGGAUUUUGCAAUGGCAUAUGAUCUCUUCUUAGCCAACACCUUCUUUAAGAAGAGAGAAGAACAUGUGAUCACCUACAAGAGUGGGUCGUCAAAAACACAAAUAGAUUUUCUUCUAAUGAGGAAAGGGGAUCGUAUAACUUGUAAGGAUUGCAAAGUUAUACCAGGAGAGAGCGUGGCUAAUCAACAUCGCUUGUUGGUGAUGGAUGUACAUAUCAAAAAGAGUAAGACAAAAAGAACAAGACUUGGAAGUGCCCAAGGACUAGAUGGUGGAAUCUAAAAGAAGAAAAACAAGUCAUUUUCAAAGAGAAGGUAAUCACCCAAUGUGUGUGGGAUCGAGAGGGGGAAGCUAGCCAAAUGUGGGAUUCCAUGGCUAGUUGUAUCCGAAAAGUAGCAAAAGAGGUAUUAGGAGAGUCCAAGGGCUUUGCCCCACACCAAAAGGAAUCUUGGUGGUGGAAUGAGGAGGUACAAACAAAGGUGAAGGCUAAGAAGGAAUGUUGUAAAGCCUUAUACAAGGAGAGGACCGAUGAAAAUGGUGAAAGGUAUAGAAAAGCGAAGCAAGAGGCGAAGAAAGCUGUCAGAGAAGCUAAGUUAGCGGCUUACGACGAUAUGUAUAAACGACUAGAUACCAAAGAAGGAGAGUUGGAUAUCUAUAAACUAUCUAGAGCAAGGGAAAAGAAGACAAGGGACCUAAACCAAGUGAGGUGCAUCAAGGAUGAGGAUGGAAAGGUUCUUGCUACAGAGAACGCGGUUAAAGACAGAUGGAGAGGUUAUUUUCAUAAUCUUUUCAAUGAAGGACAUGAAAUGAGUGCUUCUUUAGGGGAGUUGAGUAACUCAGAAGAGUGUAGAAACUACUCUUUUUAUCGUCGAAUCCGGAAGGAAGAAGUGGUUGUAGCUUUGAAGAAGAUGAAGCAUAAAAAAGCAAUAGGCCCAGACAAUAUACCAAUCGAAGUGUGGAAACUUUUGGGAGAGACAGGUAUAACAUGGCUCACUGACCUUUUCAAUAGGAUUUUGAAAACGAAGAAGAUGCCAAAUGAGUGGCGAACGAGCACUUUGGUGCCUAUCUACAAGAAUAAGGGCGACGUACAAAAUUGCAUGAACUAUAGGGGUAUUAAGCUAAUGAGUCAUACAAUGAAGCUCUGGGAGAGAGUCAUUGAGCAUAGAUUGAGGCAAGAGACACGGGUUUCGGACAACCAAUUCGGGUUCAUGCCAGGGCGCUCAACCAUGGAGGCAAUCUAUCUCUUACGAAGAUUGAUGGAAAGAUAUAGAGAUGGGAAAAAGGAUUUACACAUGGUCUUUAUAGAUUUGGAAAAAGCGUAUGAUAGGGUCCCAAGAGACAUUCUUUGGAGGAUUUUAGAGAAGAAAGGAGUACGAGUAGCAUAUAUCCAAGCUAUAAAGGAUAUGUAUGAAGGAGCAAAGACUGCCGUAAGAACUCAUGAAGGACAAACCGAAAGCUUUCCCAUAACUGUAGGAUUACAUCAAGGCUCAUCCUUAAGUCCUUACCUUUUUGCGUUGGUAAUGGAUGAGUUAACAGGACAUAUUCAAGAUGAUAUUCCUUGGUGUAUGCUUUUUCGCAGACGAUAUAGUGUUGAUAGAUGAAACUCAGGAAGGGGUAAAUGCAAAGCUUAACCUUUGGAGAGAAGUGUUGGAAUCUAAAGGUCUUCGCCUAAGCCGAUCAAAGACAGAAUAUAUGGAGUGCAAGUUCAGUGCAAAUGGAGGCCAAAACGAGUUAGGGGUGAGGAUCGGAGAUCAAGAAAUACCAAAGAGCGACCGUUUUCGUUACCUAGGAUCUAUCUUGCAAAAGAACGGAGAAUUAGAUGGAGAUCUCAACCAUAGAAUACAAGCUGGAUGGAUGAAGUGGAAGAGUGCAUCCGGCGUGUUGUGUGACCGCCGUAUGCCACUGAAGCUCAAGGGAAAAUUUUAUAGGACGGCAAUAAGGCCGGCGAUGCUGUAUGGCACAGAAUGUUGGGCGGUGAAACAUCAACACGUACACAAAAUGGGUGUAGCGGAGAUGAGGAUGCUUCGUUGGAUGUGUGGGCACACGAGAAAGGAUAAGAUUAGGAAUGAGGAUAUCCGGGGUAAAGUAGGAGUAGCCGAAAUUGAAGGAAAGAUGAGAGAAAAUCGGUUACGGUGGUUUGGACAUGUGCAAAGAAGGCCUACUGACGCUCCGAUUAGAAGAUGCGACUAUGGGACAGAGGUUCAGGGCCGAAGGGGUAGAGGAAGACCUAGGAAAACUUUGGAAGAGACUCUAAGAAAAGACUUAGAGUACUUGGAUCUAACGAAGGACAUGACACAGGAUCGAGCACAAUGGCGUUCUAAGAUUCAUAUAGCCGAUCCCACUCAGUGACUUGGAUUUUCCAAGUCUCCAACCGAGAAGUUUUCCUCACUCGGGAAAUUAAGGGAACACUACCCCAACCUACAUGCUCCACUCAGAAAGCUUCAACAUACAAGCUUCAACAAAAGAAAAUUCAAAAGAACUUAGCGAAGAAGGCUUUGGUGUAUUUAACACAAUACGUUGAAAUGAAGGAAAGCUUAUUUAUUGAUAUCCCCGAUAAGCUACAAAUAUGUACAUAUACAUGAGUCAAAAUAAAACACAAGAGGGAGCCUUCACAAAGGUUGCUUAGGAGAAGUCUCAGCAGUCGGUAGAGCCCCAGAAAGAGAAGGCACCGGAGGGGGAUCAUUUGGAGCCUCAGUACUGGACAGAACCCUAGAAGGAGGAGGCAUCAGAGGUUGAUCAUUUGGAGCUUCAUUACGCGGUACAGCCCCAGAAGACGAAGGCAAUAAAUGCCUUUGGAACAAACCCACAAAUCUCUGAUGAUCAAGUAAAACCUGACCAUCAGUUUCCUUCAUCUGGUCAAGCUUCCUCUUCAUGUUUGUAGCAUAGUCAUGUGCGAGCCGGUGCAACUGUUUAUUCUCAUGCUUGAGCCCUCUAAUCUCCUGUUUGAGACUCAUCACUUCAGCCGCCAAUGAUUCAACUUGGCGGGUUCGAGCAAAUAGGCGUUGGGCCAUAUUAGACACAGAACCUGCACACUGAACACUGAGAGCCAGCGAAUCCUUAACAGCUAACUCAUCAGACCGUUUGGAAAGUAGUCUGUUAUCUUUGGGAGUGAGAAGGUUCCUGGCCACCACCGCAGCGGUCAUAUCAUUCUUCAUCACGGAAUCCCCAACGGUAAGAGGACCAGUAGGGGAGACGAAGGAUGGGCGCCAUAUGUUGUCUGGAGAAGGCGGGGCUGCCUCUUCAACAAGGUUCAAGUCAAAACGACGGUCGGAGGGGCCAGACAUUUUCAAAGGUGUUGAAGAGAGAAGAGGUCGGACAAAUCAAGAUCUUAGAAGUGCAAGAAUGAAGCUUCUACUGGUGGAGAUUCAAGUGUGCUUUGGAACUUAAUGCCAGCCCCUAUAAAAAUCUGCACUCGACGGAGCUUCAGAAAUCGAAGAGGCGCCUGCUCAGAAAUCGAAGAGGCGUUUGCUUUCUCAAAAGCUGGGCUGCUUAGAGAUCACGAGGGUUGAUCUCAGAAAUCGAAGAGGCGUUUGCUUUCUCAAAAGUUGGGCUGCUCAAAGACCACGAAGGCCGAUCUCAGAAAUCGAAGAGGCGCUCGCUUUCUCAAAAGCUGGGCUCCCCAGAGACCACGAGGGCCGAUCUCAGAAAUCGAAGAGGCACCUACUUUUCCAGCCUUGUCAGCACCUGUCACACGCACACUCAGCUUUGCGGAAAUUAUGGGCAUUCUGUCGAAGACUUCUGGGGAAGUAGAAAAACACAUGAAUCUUACUGUUCAAUCACCCACUUCCCACACGCAACAAUAGCUCAUGGGUACCACAGAUAACUUUGCCAAAGUUCUCUGCCAAAGUUGAGCACGUGAAGCUUGCAGCUCCCACUACAUCGCUCUGACCAAGAAGGGUAAAAGAAUAGCAAAGAAACAGCACUAACAAAGUUUAGACCCAUAAAUUUUGAAGGUCUAGCUACCAUAUUAUUACCCACAAGGGUAAAGGAACAGUACCACUGCUGGAUAAUUGGAAAGUCCCUGUGUGUCAACCUCUGUGCUUCGUGGCAAGGUAGACUAGCAAACAUGCCCAACCUUUACUCACAUUCGAGAAAACACUCCCAAUAAGAUUGCUUGCUCCAAAAUCGAAGAGGCACCGUCCUCCGAAUCUCGAGAGCCAGACUCCCAACAUGACUACUUUCUUAAAAAUCGAAGAGAGGGUAAAGGAACAGUACCAUUGCUGGAUAAUUGGAAAGUCCCUGUGUGUCAACCUCUGUGCUUCGUGGCAAGGUAGACUAGCAAACAUGCCCAACCUUUACUCACAUUCGAGAAAACACUCCCAACAAGAUUGCUUGCUCCAAAAUCGAAGAGGCACCGCCCUCCGAAUCUCGAGAGCCAGACUCCCAACAUGAUUACUUUCUCAAAAAUCGAAGAGACACACUGCUCCCCGAAUCUUCGAGAGCCAGACCCCCAGCAUGAUUGCUUUCUCAAAAAUCGAUGAGGCAUCGUUCUCCGAAUCAAUCGAAGAGGCGCUCGCUUUCUCAAAAGCUGGGCUGCUCAGAGACCACGAGGGCCGAUCUCAGAAAUCGAAGAGGCACCUACUUUUCUAGCCUUGUCAGCACCUGUCACACGCACACUCAGCUUUGCAGAAAUUAUGGGCAUUCUGUCGAAGACUUCUGGUGAAGUAGAAAGCACAUGAAUCUUACUGUUCAAUCACCCACUUCCCACACGCAACAAUAGCUCAUGGGUACCACAGAUAACUUUGCCAAAGUUCUCUGCCAAAGUUGAGCACGUGAAGCUUGCAGCUCCCACUACAUCGCUCUGACCAAGAAAGGUAAAAGAAUAGCAAAGAAACAGCACUAACAAAGUUUAGACACAUAAAUUUUGAAGGUCUAGCUACCAUAUUAUUACCCACAAGGGUAAAGGAACAGUACCACUGCUGGAAUAAUUGGAAAGUUCCUGUGUGUCAACCUCUGUGCUUCGUGGCAAGGUAGACUAGCAAACAUGCCCAACCUUUACUCACAUUCGAGAAAACACUCCCAACAAGAUUGCUUGCUGCUCCAAAAUCGAAGAGGCACCGUCCUCCGAAUCUCGAGAGCCAGACUCCCAACAUGACUACUUUCUCAAAAGCGAAGAGAGGGUAAAGGAACAGUACCAUUGCUGGAUAAUUGGAAAGUCCCUGUGUGUCAACCUUUGUGCUUCGUGGCAAGGUAGACUAGCAAACAUGCCCAACCUUUACUCACAUUCGAGACAACACUCCCAACAAGGAUUGCUUGCUCCAAAAUCGAAGAGGCACCGCCCUCCGAAUCUCGAGAGCCAGACUCCCAACAUGAUUACUUCCUCAAAAAUCGAAGAGACACUACUCUCCGAAUCUCGAGAGCCAGACCCCCAGCAUGAUUGCUUUCUCAAAAAUCGAAGAGGCAUCGUUCUCCGAAUCUCGAGAGCCAGAUACCACAGACCACUUUUUCAAAGUGCUCUGACAGAGUUAAAACAUGUGAAACUGGCAGCUCCCACUACCGUGCUAUGACCAAGCAGGGUAAAGGAAUAGCAUUACUACUUGUUGUUAGGGAAACUCCUAUAUAUGUCGACCUCCAUCCCCAACGGACAGGCAGACCUGCAAAAAUGCUCAACCCUUCAUCAUAUCUGAGAGGGCACUCCCAACGAAGCCUUUCGAAAUAUUCAGCUUUCUUUCCCCCCGAUAAUACCUCUGCAAACAAGCUAUACUAGAGCAAGAAUAUCUCAUAUCAUCAGGGUUAAAAGCAAGAGUAUCCCAUAUCAUGCUUUUUCCCUGUCUUUUCCUUUGGCCUUGUUUUUACCUGCAAGACAAGGAGAAAGAGAGAGCAAUCAGUCAGCACUUGGAAUCAAGCUUCCAGCCAGGAACUGACUGCCUGGAACCCCUUACCUGAUUACUUACCUGGCAUUGCUCUCGAGUACUCAUCUUCAACAUCUUAUGUUUCCAGGGAAGAUUUCCGCAUCUGCUUGAGGAACAGAUAGGGCAAGUGCGAAGGAUACAAGGAAGCAUGUGGAGACAAGCGUAACAGCACACGUGCCGAUACAUCCAUUACUCUGUCAAAAGCAAAAGUAUCCCAUAUCAGCAGGGUGGAACGUACUCUAGAUUUGAUGGACUUGUUUUGACCCUCAAAUUCUUCAGUCGGCCUUAUACUCUGGAGGAAACCAGAAAACCCUCCAGCUCAGUUCAAGAAUAAGCCUGUGGAAAGUUACUUCUUCAAAAGCAAAAGUAUCUCAUAUCAUCUCUUCUCAUUUUUCUUCUCUUUAUCCUUCAUGCUGCUGCAAGAUGGGGAGAAGGUGAACAAUCAGUCGGAGCUCUGAUUGCUUACCUUGUCUGUCACCUCUUUCAGCAGACCCCCUAGCUCGGCGACUUGGGGGACUCCUACUACAUGGUUUGUAUCGCGCUUGACCAAGCUUGAAACUACAAGUAAGCUUCAAGUGAAAUUGAUACAUUACCUUGUGCAUCUCCACCAGUUAAAGAUAUCACCCCUGGAUGGAGGAAGAGUACUUCCAGAGAAGAUGCCACAUCUACCUAUGAGACAGAUAAGGCAAGUCAAGACGACACCACACUCCGAUACUUAGAAGUUUAUGAUUACGAGAUCAUUCUCCCACAAUAUUUCCUAAUGUCAUUUGUACUAAAUCAUUCACUUGUACUCAUUAAAGGAGAGCUUGAACCCAUGUACUUGUGUAAACCCUUCACAAUUAAUGAGAACUCUUCUAUUCCGUGGACGUAGCCAAUCUGGGUGAACCACGUACAUCUUGUGUUUGCUUUCCUAUCUCUAUCCAUUUAUAUACUUAUCCACACUAAUGACCGGAGCAAUCUAGCGAAGAUCACAAAAAGCGACCGUUUUCGCUACCUAGGAUCUAUCUUGCAAGAGAACGGAGAAUUAGAUGGAGAUCUCAACCAUAGAAUACGAGCUGGAUGGAUGAAGGGUAAGAGUGCAUCCGGCGUGUUGUGUGACCGUCGUAGGCCACUGAAGCUCAAGGGAAAAUUUUAUAGGACGGCAAUAAGGCCAGCGAUGUUGUAUGGCACAGAAUGUUGGGCGGUGAAGCAUCAACACGUACACAAAAUGGGUGUAGCGGAGAUGAGGAUGCUUUGUGGGAUGUGUGGGCACACGAGAAAGGAUAAGAUUGGGAAUGAGGAUAUCCGAGGUAAAGUAGGAGUAGCCGAAAUUGUAGGAAAGAUGAGAGAAAAUCGGCUCCGGUGAUUUGGACAUGUGCAAAGAAGGCCGACUGACGCUCCGGUUCGAAGAUGUGACUACGGGACAGAGGUUCAGGGCCGAAGGGGUAGAGGAAGACCUAGGAAAACUUUGGAAGAGACUCUAAGAAAAGACUUAGAGUACUUGGAUCUAACGGAGGACAUGAUACAAAACCGAGCGCAAUGGCGUUCUAGGAUUCAUAUAGCCGACCCCACUUAGUGGGAAAAGGCUUUGUUGUUGUUGUUGUUGUUGUUGUUUGAUGAUGGUGGCCUGCUUCUGUGCAAUUCUAAAGGUAGUCGGUUGAUCGUUGGUAGAAGUAUUAUUCGGAAGUGCUUAGCAUUUGCCUUUCUGUUCAAGGUUGGCAGUUUUUUGCCUCAUAUUUUCUAAGCUGGCGAUUCCUCGUUCUUA
rnacentral:lncRNA from 1 species